rnacentral:rRNA from 1 species
GCUUACGGCCAUACCACCCUGAACCCGUCCGAUCUCGUCUGAUCUUGGAAGCUACGCAGGGUCGGGCCUGGUUAGUACUUGUAUGGGAGACCACCUGGGAAUACCAGGCACUGUAAGCU